rnacentral:rRNA from 1 species
CCCUUAGAUGUUCUGGGCUGCACGCGCGCUACACUGAUGCGCUCAACGAGUUUUAACCUUGCCUGGAAAGGUUGGGUAAUCUUUUUAAAACGCAUCGUGAUGGGGAUAGAUUAUUGCAAUUAUUAAUCUUCAACGAGGAAUUCCUAGUAAGCGCGAGUCAUCAGCUCGUGCUGAAUACGUCCCUGCCCUUUGUACACACCGCCCGUCGCUCCUACCGAUCGAAGAGUUAGGUGAAUUGUUUUGAUCGAUAAGAUUUGACUAUGGUCAACUCUCGUUGUGAAAUUCUGUGAAUCUGACUGUUUAGAGGAAGGAAAAGUCGUAACA